AACGAACGCUGGCGGCAGGCCUAACACAUGCAAGUCGAGCGCCCUUUCGGGGGAGCGGCGGACGGGUGAGUAACGCGUGGGAAUAUGCCCUUCUCUACGGAAUAGCCUCGGUAAACUGAGAGUAAUACCGUAUACGCCCUAUGGGGGAAAGAUUUAUCGGGGAAGGAUUAGCCCGCGUUGGAUUAGGUAGUUGGUGGGGUAAUGGCCUACCAUGCCGACGAUCCAUAGCUGGUUUGAGAGGAUGAUCAGCCACACUGGGACUGAGACACGGCCCAGACUCCUACGGGAGGCAGCAGUGGGGAAUCUUAGAAAAUGGGGGCAACCAUGAUCUAGCCAUGCCGCGUGAGUGAUGAAGGCCUUAGGGUUGUAAAGCUCUUUCAGAUGGGAAGAUAAUGACGGUACCAGCAGAAGAAGCCCCGGCUAACUCCGUG
rnacentral:rRNA from 1 species